GGAGAGGUGCCGGAGCGGUCGAACGGGGCGGUCUCGAAAACCGUUGUCCGCGCAAGCGGACCGUGGGUUCGAAUCCCACCCUCUCCGCCA
rnacentral:tRNA from 1 species